UACAGAGGGGGCAAGCGUUGUUCGGAAUUACUGGGCGUAAAGGGCGCGUAGGCGGCCUGCUAAGUCGAACGUGAAAUCCCUGGGCUCAACCCAGGAACUGCGUCCGAUACUGGUUGGCUUGAAUCCGGGAGAGGGAUGCGGAAUUCCAGGUGUAGCGGUGAAAUGCGUAGAUAUCUGGAGGAACACCGGUGGCGAAGGCGGCAUCCUGGACCGGCAUUGACGCUGAGGCGCGAAAAGCCAGGGGAGCAAACGGGG
rnacentral:rRNA from 1 species